ACGGGGGGUGCAAGCGUUAUUCGGAAUUAUUGGGCGUAAAGAGCGCGUAGGCGGCCAGUUAAGUCAGAUGUGAAAGCCCGGGGCUCAACCCCGGAAGUGCAUUUGAAACUAAUUGGCUUGAGUAUGGGAGAGGGAAGUGGAAUUCCUGGUGUAGAGGUGAAAUUCGUAGAUAUCAGGAGGAACACCGGUGGCGAAGGCGACUUCCUGGACCAAUACUGACGCUGAGGCGCGAAGGCGUGGGGAGCAAACAGG
rnacentral:rRNA from 1 species